AACUGGCAGUAGUUAGCUCAGGGCUAAUCUUCCUCCAAAAAGAAAAAAAAAAGAUAGGGGUAGAGGGCCCCUGACUAUGUUGGCAUAGUGAAGAGGCACUCAGGCUACUGGAGGAGAAGAGAGGAGAGGGAACAGAGGCGGAUGUGGGGUUUACAUCUUCCCUCCACAUAUGUGGUAGGAGCAGACGCAGCCGUGGACUAGGCUGAUGGGAGUGGAGUGCAGAGAAGUGAACUCACGGAAGGGCAAACGUGUGCUGGAUGGGUGUGAACUGGGCAUAGGUGUAAGGACUUGCAGAUGCCUGGCCUGCACAAGCAGGACCACUGCGGGAGACGGAUGUGGAAACAGGACUGGGUAUGGGGGAGACUAUCGUGAGUGAGUCCUGGCCAUGUUGACAUCUGGUGCCUUUGAGAAUUCAAAGCGGAAACGCCAAGGAGGCAGCUGGACAUGGAGUCAGGCGUCUGGAGCGGACAAAGAGUGUGGGAGUCCUGGCGCACACAUGGCCACGGAGGCGAACGUCAAAUGAGGAGAGAGGAGGACCAGAACUGAGCCUGGGAACACCACCAUUUAACAGAACGGAGGAGGGGAGGAGGUGGGAGGGGGCACAAAGCCCAGAGGAGUGGCUGGUGGAGCCCAGGGAGGAGGGUGUGUGCGGACCAUCGGGGCUGCUGGGAGCUGUUUCGGGGAGUGGCGGGUGGAGGGCAAAUUGAGAGGGGGGAGCUGUAAGUGGGAGGUGAGGAAGUGGUGACAAACCCUUCUAAAAUUUUUCCUACAAUGGACAGGAGAGAGAGCAGAGACGUGUAAAGGGGAGGCUGGCCCUGCACUGUGUGGCGAUGCCUACUUGCUCGCCCAUCUCCCCCGAGCAGCGUCUGGCUGCCGUGUCUGUGGGAGCAGUGAGGCUGGCCCCCAGGAGCGAGGCUUGGGGAAGCUUCCUGCUCCCACCUUCUAACCUGGUAAUAUUCAAUCUGGUGCUACCACCAGCCCCCCGGCCCAAAUGCAGUGGGAGACGGAGAGACAAGAGACCCAGGCCCGCCCCCAGCCAGCCCUACUCUCAAAUCACACCACACUGCUUAGAUUUUCCAACGACACCUGUGUGCCGCCACCCUGGCCUUUGCACACACCACUGCCUGUGCCUGAGAACGCCUUCUCGCGACACUGCCCAUCUGGCGUGAGCCUGCGCGGUCUCUAAAGACUGGGCUGCGGCUCUCCUCUGUGAAGGCUCUUCUAUCCUCCGCCUCCCCUGGGGCCUGACCCCUGCACCAGCGUCCCCUCCGGGAGACCCAUGGGGCACCUUGCGGUUGGGUCAUGGAAGAGACUGCAGGCCCCGAGGGGCAGGCGCCCGCUGCAGCCCAGUGUCACCAUGCAGGAACCCAGCCCAGAGUGGCCAGACCCUCAGCUUUCUCAUGAGAAGCCAACAGCCUUGAUAAAAACAUGGAAUCUCCUGAUUUCUAAAACUCAGCCAAAAUUUAAGAGUUUUAAAAUCACCAUGGGGGCCCAAGAAAGCACGUCUCCAGGCAAGAUUCUCCAAGGGCCACCAGGUAGCUCCAUGCGCUGUGCCCCUCCCCCAGGCAGGGCAUGCGUCUUACUUGCCCUGUAAGGAGGGAGGUUUCUGGCGGAGGUGGGGGUAGGGAGAGGGGGGCCUCCUCAGCUUUGUGCCAGAGACUUAGCUGCACCAUCUCAUGUAAUCCUCUAAACGAAACUGCGAGGAAGGUGUGGGCCCAUUUUCCAGCCAGGAAAACCGAGGCUCAGAGAGGUGCCGUGACUCACCUUGGGACUCCCAGCUAGUCAACGGCGAGUUAAUUUCAAGCCCGGUCCAUUUCUUCACAUCUUCCACAGGUGCCGAGAUCAAGUGGAAACCAAGAAAGAUGAGCUCCCUGCUCUCUCGCACGGUGCACGCGGGAAGGAGGCAGACACGACGAGCAAGUCACGAAGGAACGAAGGAAGGAGUGAGAAAAUAGAAGCUUGUGGUGGCCAAGUCCAUCCAAAGUCACACAGGGAGCAGACGGCUUAGUUGUGACUGGGGCUCAGAUCCAAAAGCUCUCCCCAUGCUGCUGAGACUGCGCCUGUCCCCUCUUUGUUGCCCCAGUCACCCUUACCCUAUUCUUGAGGAAGAGACAAGAGGAAAGUCAGAGGUAAUAGGUUACUGAACCCCCACCAGCCUUGUCCACCCCAGCCACCUCCAUAUAGCCCAGAGGCAAUGAAGGGGCUCAGACCCUCCCCCCAGGAUGGGGGUCUAGAAUGAGUCUGGAAGCCAUGACCCCAGUUUCUGCUUCCCUGUUACCCUCCUUCCUUUGGGUAACUAGUUAUAAGACCUCCAUGGCCUUGGGGCGCAGCUGUCGGCGGAAGACAGAAAACAAGAGUCAAGGUCCUGGCUUUGGGGAUUUCAAAAGCCUCCAUGCAGAUGGUUGAGGAAAAGGUUUGGAAGGACAUGCGAUCAAGCAGAGCCAGUUUCUCUUCCCUUCUCCUGGAAACCAGGUGAGAAACUGAGGAAAGGUCAAGUGCCGAAGGACAGUGGGGAAUCCAGGAGGAGAAUCAUGUCUUUUUUGCCCAACCUUCCUUCAUUCAAUCCAUCUACAACUACUGAGCGUCUGCAAGAGCCAGGCCCUGUGCUAAGGGCUGGAGAAAGAGAUAAAUGGGACAGACGGUGCCCUGCCUGCUUGAAGCUCCAGAGGGGAGAUGGACACAAGCAGAAAACAACCGCCAAAGGUCAGAGAGUUAGGAGAUGGGAAGGGCAUGGGCCACAGCAGUGGACAUCUGGAGUGCUCUGUCCUGCGGUCAGGGAAAGCGUCCCUGGUGAGGGGUGUUUCAGCUGAGCCUGAAGGAUGAGGAGAACGAACCAGGUCAGAGCUGCCCAGGUAGAGGGCACACUCCCUGGGGUGCUCAAGCUUCCUUUAGACCAAGCGUUCCAAACCUCCGCACUACUGACAUCAGGGCCCAGAAAACCCUUUGUUCUGGGGGCUGUCCUGUGCAUUGCAGGACAUUUAACAACAUCCCUGGCCUCUACCCAUUAGAUGUCAGAAUACUCACCUCCUCCUUCCCCAAGUCGUGACAUCCAAAAAUGUCUCUGGACAUUACCCCAAUGUCCCUGGGGUGGGGGAGCGGGGCUGAGAGGGCAAAAUUGUCCCCGGGUGAGACCACUGUUUUAGAUGCUACAUAAACAGUUUUACAAUGCAAUGUUUUUAUUUUUACAGUUUUACAGGUUCCUUCUAUUUAUUGCAAGUGUCACUGGCUUUUCAUUUCCAGUAGUGAUCUGAAGCUUCCUUUCUGAAUAAAUUGGGCCUCCCCUCUACUCCCAUCAGGUCCACGAGGGCCCCUGACCGGCACAGAGAAACCCGCGAUGGGCUUGGGGCUGGUCUCGCCGCCCCGCACCCCCCAGCUGGCUCCUCCUGCCGCGGCACAGAGCUGAGCCCUUCAUAAGCAGCCUUGAGGACAUUCCUCCCUGUGACCCUGCCACCUCCCGCGCAUCAGCUGAAACACAAUCCUACUCUCCUGGCCGGUUAGGUUUUAAGUGCUCUGAGCUUCCACACGUCCCUGCAGCGACGCCAUGACACCUUCCAGUCAGUUCCACCGCCCGAGACGCAGCCUGCACACUAGGAAAAGGAGAGGAACGGCUGGCCCCCUUGCUGCACAGCCUCCAGACAGCCCUUCCCUUCCCUGGGCGCUUUCCAGUGUGUAAAGCACUUGACUAUCCCAUGUCUCAUGUAAUCCUUGCCUUUUCCCACGAAGGAGGCUAGGUUUGGUUGCACACUACCUGACAGAGGAGAGAGUGAAGCUCAGAGAGGUAAAGCAACCCACCCAGGGUAACACUGCAUGUUUGUGUCCAGGUCCACCGACUCCAAGUCCGGAUGUCUCAGCACUCCAUCACGGCCUCUUCCAUCCAUUCAUUCAGCAAGUAUUAUUAAGUGCUUACUGUAUGCCAGGCCCUCCUUGUGGUUCAGGAAAUAAAGGUGCAUAUAAGACAAACAAGGGGGCUGCCCUUACGGUGCUGAUAUUCUUAUGAAGGAAGAGAGAAAAUAAACACACACGUUUAAAAUUCAGAGUUUAAUAAAUGCUAUGAAGGAAAACGGGGGAUAAGGAAAAGAGGGUUUAGGGUAGUUAGUUCGGCCAAGGAAGCUGGGGCAGGACUCUCUGCAACAGUGACAAAUUUAAGCUGAGGCCAAAACUGUGAAACUCUAAGGGAAGAGAGUUCCCAAGGAAAGACAGCGGACCCCGAGCCGUGAGCGUGGAAGGCAGCUGCGAGUUUGCGGGUCAUAGAGGAAGAGGUGGAGGCCCAACAUAUGCAGGGGGUGGGGGUGGCCAGGCGCGGCCUCUGCAGGGUCCUGCGGAGGAGGGCAGGGGCACUGGCAGCCUGGUCUCCUGCAGAGGCGCAUGCAGGCUCUGCCAGGCUCUCUGCAGGCCCUGGUCCUUUCCUGACCUCUGGGGGGGGGGGGGGGGGGCUUGUCACAGAGGGUCCCAGAUGCCAAUGGACUGCAGGCCCCCCCUGGCCCACCUCUGUCCUGGGACAGGGGCCAAGAUGGAAGCCUUGAAGACUGGGACCCAGGCCGCACCUGGGCAGACUGAUGGGAGGACAGAGCUGGAGGAAGGCGGUGCAGCGAAGCUUGGAGUUGGGUGUCAGGGCACUGCCCCCCUGUCACACCCUGGCCAGCGCGGUGAGCUCACUAGGGGCCAACAGCUCAGAUUGCCCAGGUCUGAGCAAAACGAGGGGUGAAGAGUGCUUAUGGAGGAUGCGGGAUUGGCCCCCGGGAGCCCAGGCCAUCUCCUGUGCAUCCCUGCCAGGCCUGGACAUCGCUGGCUUUGCUCCUGUUGGCCUUGGCAUCCCUGCCCAAGACCCUCAGCUGUCACCAUCUGUGCUUGCCUGGCAGGCGCGGGCACCCCUGCCCUCUCCUGAGGAAUUCGGCAGGGCCUCGGGCCGGGAGGCCUUCAGACCAUGAGGAAUCAAGGCUCAGCUGGGUUUGUGAGCUACUGGGAGGCAGAGGCAAGUGAGGGGAGGCUCUCGGUAGACCCCGGGGGCAGCCUGAGGCUGGGGCUCCCCCCAGUCAGCCCCUGCCUGCCCCAGCGAGGCUCACCCAUGCAGCCAGAGACUCCUGGCACAGGCUAGCCCUGCUCCUGAGCCAGGCCUCCCAGAGUUGAGGUCUGCGUGAGUUCCCCUUCCCUAGGCCUAUAGAAGAGUAGCCCUGCACACCCCACCCUGCUCCCUAAGAUGACAGAGGCAUCCCAACCAAACUGCCAGGUUCCCCUCCCAACAGCAGAUUGUCCUCUAGGGCCCCCGGGAAUACACCCUCCCCAUUGCCCCACUUCUGCAUCCUGGACUAGACCACCUCGCCCAUCCCCAUUUGCUGGCUGGGCCUCUUCCCUUAACCAGCAGAGCACUCAGAUGCUGUCAUGGGAGGUGGAGUUGUGGAUUCCAGAGUCAGACUGCCUGGAUCUAAAUCCUGCCUCCAGCUCUUACUGGCCAUGUGACCUGGGCAAUUCUGUUAAAGCUCUGUGCCUCAAUUUUCCCAUCUAGUACAGGAAUGAGCCAUGAGUAUACAGAACAGUGGCUGGGGCAUAGUCACUGCCCUACAUGUGCUGGUGCUGUGGUGGUUGCUGUCCAUGCCCCACCCCCGCCUGACCCCUAGGUUCCUGUUGCAGCAAUCCGCCUGCCAGCUCAGACCUCCUCCGAUGCCGACACAUCCUGGACAGAGUCUGAGUUCUUCCCUUCCCGCUGGACCAUGCUAUCCCGCUCCUGUUGGUUCCCCCAACACCUCCCAACCCCACCUACCACUCUCAGCUUACUCCUCCAUCAGACCAAGAAACAGAGGCCCCUCUGUGUCCCAGGUCAACUUACAAUACACUUACCAAGGUCACUGCUUGGCCAUGACUUGUCCCAGCCAGGCAGAUUCUGGAAUGAGGUGUGUGUCCUCACGGAGAGGGAGGGGGUAAUGUGGAAGUGUGGGGAGCCAUCUGAGAGAUGAUGCAGAGGGAGCUCUGAGAGGAUGCCGAGUGGGGUACCCCAGGCAGACUUGGGGUAAGGAAGACGGCCUCGCAGGGUGGCACUUGGGCCACAUGGCGGCCGAUGUGAAGCUGCCAUUACGAGGCCUGCCUGUGUGCACCAGCAGGAAUUCCGCACGCAGCCUCUCCCUGAUUCUGCAUGGGAACUUCAUGAGGGAGGAGCUACUGUCAUCUCUCUUUAACAGAUAAGGAGACUGAGGCUCAGAAAAGCUGAGGAUGUAUGUGGAGGGCCACGGGGGCUAGCUCCAACGUGGGCCCUUGGACAUUUCUCUGCUGCCUCUUAAAGGGCUGGAUUCUCGAGGUAAAUGACACCAUCACUGUCAUCCCUCGCAGCCUGAACCUCAGGAGAAGAGGUAUGACCAAGCGUGAUGACAAGAAAAACAGCAAUCUGACCAGGGUUGGGGGUGGUACUGAGAGCCACCAGAGGCACCUCAGGCUGCAGGGGAUGGAACCUCAGGAGACCUGCAGUCAGAGGCUCGGGGCAAAGGUGGGGCACAGCGUGGCACUGGGGGUGACCCAGCUCUUGCCUGUCUUGUCACUGGUUGACUCUUACCUGGUCUCUACCCCAGGGGGUCUCAGAGCCCCCAGGCCUCGCCAGGACUUGUAAUAUCACAUGGGCAGUGUGUCUCCACCCAGACAGAGAAGAAUGAGGACGCAGCAGCUCGGCGCUCCAGCCUGCUCCCGGAGUCCCAGACACCACUGGCCUGACACCUGCCCAUCACACCUGGACAGCCAGCAAUGUCUGUCUGGCCAUCCAGCAGGGAAGAGACCACUGGGUUAGAGUCAGGCACAUCUGGGUUUGAAUCUCAAUUCUGCAACUUCCCAGCUGUGUGUCCAUGGACAAGUCACUUAACAUCUCUGAGGCCCUGUUUCCUCAUCUGGAAAGUGGGGAUAAUCCACCCAUACAGCCAAUACUCCUCGAGCACCUCUUGUGUGCCAGAUAUUUUUCUAAGUCUUGGGGACACAGUGGAGAGCAAGACAGAGUCCCUGUCCUCAUGGAGAUGAUGUUCAAGUUGGGAGACAGACGACAAACAUGCACUUUCAGGGAAGAAACAGGAGCCAGAGUGACUGGGGAAGCCGUUUUAGACUGGAUCACAGGGAAGGCCUCUCUCUGGGAGGGAGCUUCAGGCUGGAACCUGAAGGAUCCUGCCAGCCAGCCACCUUCCCAGAGACAAAUGGCCGGCAAGCACACACUCGUCGUCUCAAAAUAGUCACCAGGGAGUUCCCGACUCCCAGGAGAAGCACACAGAAGACGCUGUUUGUGAGAAGAGUUCUCAGCGUGGAGAACUUCCAUCCAGGGGCAGCGCCCUCCCGGGGCCCUUCGACUCCCCAGCCAGCCAUCCGCAGCGGCAGAUCAGCAUCCGAGGAGGAGAGAGGAGGAGAGACGGGAGCUGGGGAGACAGCACGGCCCUUCAGUGCGGAACAGGCAAGGAAGCCAGCUGCCAUGUUGCGAGCAGCCCUUGGGAGAGGCCCACACGGCUGGGCACUGAGGCUCUCAGCCCGAUGGCCCGUGAGGGACUGAAGCUGCCACAGCCACGACAAGCAGCCUGGAGGCAGACCCUGCAGCCUCGGUCACGUGCAGAUGGGACCGCAGCCCUGGCCCACAGUUCAAUGGCCGCCUCGUGAGAGACUUGGAGCAAGGGUCAAAGGAAGCUGUGCCCGGACCCCUGACCCGCAGAAGCUGUUUCUGCGCACAUGACCCUUCACCAUGAUGGCCUUCCGUCAGCACAGUGUAAGAGGCCGUGCCGUCUUCAGAGCACCAUCACCACCAGACAGGUCAUGCCUUUAUUUAGUUCUUAACUAUCCCCCUCCUAGCACAUCCACUCCCAGGAGGAGGAGUUGUGUCCGCUUUGGUCAUUGCUGUGUCUCCAGUGCCUAGAACAGUGCCUGGCUCAGAGCCGGGGCUCAGGAAAUACUGACCAAGUUAAUAAUCAGCGAGUGAAAAGAAUUUGGUAGAUUAAAAUAUACUGAGCAAAAAUCACCUCCAAGAAACAGUGAGUGAGAAAAGCAAGGCAGAGAGUGAGUGCACCAUGCCAGCAGGUGUUGUAAAGAUGCCCGGAACAAUUCCGAAAGGACAGACAAGAAGCUGGCAACAGCAGCUGAGGAAGAGUUCACAAAGGAGACACACCCAACCUGGGCCUUGAGGGAGAGGUGGGGGAAAAGAGGGACAGUAUUUUAGGCAGGAGGAACAGCACGGGUCUCCCCUGGAGACCAAGAUGGCACCAGCCCCAGACACUCUUCUGUGGACCGGCCCAGCCCACCCCACAUGCUGGGCUCCUGGCCACACUCGGCCCCCAUCCCAGGGACCUCCUGGGAGCCCUGUCCCCUGCUUCCCUCCGGACCGCUGUGCUCCAGGCCACUCAGCGCCUGGCCCUCUGUCUUCCUGCCUACCUUGCCUACCCAACCCACUCCCCCAGAGUUGCGUCCUAUGCCUGAAAAGCCCCAAUUGGCUGGAGAGCUGGCCACCAGGAAGAUGACAGGACAGCUGGCCCCUUGUGAGGAUCUCCAGCGGCCUCACCCACCAGCUUGGCUUCAGCCAAGGCCACGCCCCCAGACCCUGCCCCUUCCUGGCCAUGCCCCUCAGAGUCCCGUUUUCCACUGGACCAGUGCCUGGGCCCUCACAUUUCCCCAGAGCCCAGGCCCCUGAGCCCCUGGCAUCCCUUGCCGUUCCCACUGCACUAAGUCGGUUUAAAUCACUAGAUUCAAGCAGUUCCAGGACCGCGGGUUUUACUUUUAAUUUUUACUAAACUUAUUAAAAUUCUUGCUUCCUCCUAUGCCCCCAAAGCCCAAUUUCUGCCUGGCCCUGUGCCUGGGGCCAGGCUCAUUUGUGGUAAAGGCCCACUGGCCCGCAUAUUCUCCCAAUCCUUGCUUCCAAGAGCACGCAAAGGAUGUGGCAGAAUUUCAAUCACCAUGCCCAGCCUCAGCGAGGCCAAGGACACAACGUAGCCCGCCCCUUGGCCCCACCUUCUGAAGACACACUGACUAUUCCCCAGCUGAAAGGUCCUGGUUCCCUUCUAGAAUCUUCUGACCCCUCUGCAGGCCCUGACUCGCUUCUAACAUUCCAACUCAUUCAUUCAACUAAUAUUUCUUAAGCAUCGGCUAUAUGCAAAGUAUUGGACCAGCCACUGGGGCUACAGCUGUGAAUAUGGCAUAGCCAUUCCCCCAAGGCUAACGAGGAGGACGACACAAAUAGCGAAGUAAAAUCAAUUACUGCAAACACUAAAAGAGAAAUAUAUGCAGCCGUGAUCCAAAAUUGGCAGCCCGUGAGCUGAAUCCAACCUGCAGAUGUUGGCUAGAGCUGUAAAAAGUGAUGAAUUUUUUGGCCAACAUUUAAAAAUCUGGAGGAUCUCCAUUAAAAUAUGGACGUUUGGGCUUCUCUCGUAAAAAUCAGAGCCUCUGGCAACACCAGGUCCACAUUUCCCCUUGGUGACUCUCAGCCAGAGCAGUUGGAGCUGUGCCUAAUAGUCAGGGCCUGUGGUCUCUGGGCCUCGCAGGCCCCACCGUGCCCAUCAUCUCCCUGGCCGCUGCCCUUUGCCACUCCUGCAGUGUUCCCGCUCACUCACUCAUUCACAUUUCCUUCCAGGCCACUGAAGGCAUUUACCUUUUCAACCCCUGAAAGGGAGCUGAGGGAGACACGAGGUCAGCAUGUGUUCCCCGACGGGAAGCGGGAGGUAGGGAAGAAGGAGGGAGGCAGUGCAGGCAGCGUGAACAGCCCAGCAAAGGCAGGGGGAGUGAAGCAGCCAGCAGCGGGGAGCUGGGUUCUGGCCCUCCUAGUCCUACUGAGUUUGGCAUCACCUGCUCUGACCAGGUUCCUGACUCAGGACUGUCCCAGUGCUGCUUCUGAUCUCCUGGGACCUGCCUUGGACAUGUGGGGACAAGGCUACAGGUGAGCGCAGGCCAUGAGGUGUAGGUGACCUAAAAAUGAGAGGUUUCCAACUAGAUGAUCUCUAAGGCACCUUCUACCUCUGAUAGCUGGAAUUUUUAAAACAACUUAUCAUUCUGAAAUAAUUAUAGAGUCACAGGAAGUUGCAAAGAAAGUGUCAUGCCCUCUUCACCCAAUGUUAACACUUACACAACUCAUGGGGUCCUAGCAUCAAAGGCAGGAAAUUGACCUUGGCACAAGCCAGAGUUGACUCAGAUUUCUCCAGUUAUACACGUAAGCAUGAGUGUGUGUGAGACAGUGUGUGUGUGUGUUGUUGUUCUGUGCAAUUUUGUCACAUGUAUAGCUGUGUAUAACCACCCCCACAAUCAAGACACUCAACUGCGCCAUCCCAAGACCCCUCAUGUUGCCCCUUCUAGAGCCAUCUGCCCGCCAUCCCUAACCUCUGGCAACCGCUGAUCUGCCCUCCAUCUCCACAGACAUGCUAUUGCACAAUGCUCCAUAAAUGGAAUCCUGCAAUAUGCAUCCUUUUGAGGUUGGCUUUUUUCACUCAGCAUCAUUUCCUUGAGUCCAUCCAAGUUACUGUGUGGACCAACUGUUGUCUCCUUUUUCGCUGAGUAGUAUUCCACGGCACGGACAUAUCGCAGUUUGUUUAUUCAUUCACCCAUUGAAGGACAUUUGGUUAGUUUCCAGUUUGGGGCUAUUACAAAUACAGCUGCUAUGAACAUGCAUGUACAAGUUCCUGUGUGAAAACAAGUCUUUCUUUAUCUGAGAUAAAUGCCCAAGAAUGCAAUUGCUAGGUCUUAUGGUAAUUCUUUGGUAAACCCAUUUUUACUUUGGAAAAUAACUGCCAAACAAUUUUCCAGAGUGGUUGAAUCAUUUUACAUUCCUGCCAGCAAUACAUGGCUGAUAACUUUCUGGAUAACUGGAAUUGUAUUUAAAAGCAAAAAACUAGAGUUCUCCUUGGGACCAACCUUUCAGCAAUCUCAACAUUUCUGAACAACCCCAGGAUUUUGACACCCCCAUCCUCAUCAUUUUCACCUCUCUCCCUGCUCCCCCACCCCCAGACCAUAAGCUCGUAGAAAGCAGGGCCCAGGCCUUGCUCAGAUCUGCAGCCCUGGGCCCGGCACAGGCGUGGUGCCUAGGGGUGCUCCGUGAGGACACAUUAAAUUGCACAGAACGGCUAAGCAAGUCAGCAAAGACUCACAGGCAGCAAGUCAGACAGACAGGAUGGCAGAUGCCAGCCCCCGGGUUUCCAGGGCAUGGCUUAACACACCCAGAGGCAGGCUGUAUGUGAAAAUGCUCAGCCUGAAAGGCCACCAUCCCCCUAGCACACGCAUCCUCCCGCCCCCCGAAAUCCAGCUCUUUUUAUGUUGAAAGCACAGAUGUACAUAUAGCACAUAAACAGAUACACAUACAGUGUAUCUGUGGAGUUAAAAUUUCAUGGAGGGGGGCCACUUAGGAAAAAAAAGGCUAAAAAGGCUCUUUAGGGGAGCAAUAAUGAAAAAAAGGUUGAGAAACACUGUCCUGGAAGUGUCCUGGGCCCUCCACCUGUGAGUCAGAGGGAGGAGGCCACCUGACCGGCAAUGGGGCAGAGCGGGACCUUCUGAAAAUGCAUUCUGACCAUCUUGCUCCCCUGAUCUAGAACCAUCACUGGCUCCCACUGCCUCUAGAGAGAAGUCGGCACUGUCCAGCCCCACAGCCCCCACGCCACAGCUCCUGUCACAGCUGCAGGAAACGACGGAGUCACCUGUGCUUGACAAGCCCUGCCAUGUCUCCUUGCCUUUGCACCCGCCGUUCCUUCCACCUGAAAUGCCUUUGCCCUAUCCUUUACCCCAUCUUUGUUCAAAGAACGGUCGCCUCCUCACCUCUCUGAAGGGUCCUUUGCCUUUCCAGGUGCUCCAGGUGCCUGCAGUGUUGCAUUCAUGCUUCUGUGGCAGCCUCUUACAUAUCUUAUUAUCACUAAGCUGCUGCAUCCCAGAUGGUUUUUCCAACUAGACUCUGAGUCCCCUGGAGACAGGGGCCUCGUCUCACUCGCCUGCGGCACAGGGUCCACCUCAAGUCAGCACGCCCCAGUUCGGGACUCCUGAACCUCCCGGCCGCUCCGCCCACCCAGUCGGCCCCUCCGCCCACCCAGUCGGCCCCACCUGAGAGAAAGAAGCUGCAGCCUGCCACGGCUCAAGCCACAAAUCCUGGAGUCGGCUGUGACUCCUCUCUCCAGCUCCCUCUCCAGCUCCGUCUCUCCUGCAUCAGUGCAUCCUGCUGGUUCUACCUUUGAAACAUACCCAGAAGCCAACCACCUCUCACACCUCCACAACUGCCACCCUGGUCUAAACCACCUGCAUCUCUCACCUGGACUGUCGUCAUAGCUUCCUCACUGGCCUCCCUGCUCCCGCCCUUCUCAACAUGGCAGCCACCGUGAUGCCCUUUGAGAAUAGGUCAGAUCAUUCUUCUCUGAUCAGAACCCUUGGCAUUUCACCUCACGGGGUCAAAGCCAAAGUCCUCACCAUGGCUGACACAGCCUCCACAAUCUACCUCUCUCCUCCUACCAGUCUCUCCUGAACUUUCACCUCUCUCUGCCUUGCUCAUCUCACCUCAGGCACAUGGCUUCCAUUCCUAAAGACACAACAGACAUACUCCUGCCCCAGGGCCUUUGCACUUACUGUUCCCCAUCUCUGGAAUGAUCUUCCCCAGAUAGUCCCAUGGCCUCCUCACUUCCAUCAAGUCGCUACUGAAAUAUCACCUCUGCUGAGAGGCCUUGCCUGACUACCCUGUCUAAAAUAGCCCCUCCUUCCAUCAUUCUCUAGCCCCUUACUUUAUUUUUUGUCAAAGCAUUUAUCACCACCCGACAUUAUUUCAUCAUAUUAUCUCUUUGCUUAUCCAAUUAUUUUUCCCCCUCCCCUCGCUAGAUUGUAUACUCCACGAGACAGGGAUGUUGUAGGUUUUGAUCAUGAUCUAGAACAGAGGUUGGCAAACUAUGGCCCACGGGCCAAAUGUGGCCUGUAGCCAGUUUUUGUAAACAUAGUUGUUUUUUUCCAGUUUUCUUCAGAUAUAAUUGACAUAUAACAUUGUAUUGGUUUUAGGUGAUUGAUGGCUUGAUAUCUGCAUAUAUUGUGAAAUGCUCACCACAAUAAGCUGAGUUAACAUCCAUCACCUCACAUAGCUACAAUCUUUUUUUUCUUGUGAUGAGAACUUUUAAGACCCACUCUCUUAGCAACUUUCAAACAUACAACAUGAUUGUUAACUUUAGGGACCAUGCUGUACAUCACAUCCCCAGGGCUUAUUUAUCUUAUAACUGGAAGGUUGUACCUUUUGACCACCUUCACCCAUCUUGCCUACCC